GUCACAGGAAUAUGAAGCAGAUGCUGGCAUCCAAACACAAACACAUCAAAGAUUGACCAAGACAUCUGUAGAAAUAUGAAACAGAUGUCUGAGACUGUUCAUGCUGAUGUUCUUAACUGCCAGAAGAAGUUGAAAUAAAUGCCAUAAUGUGGUAUAAAGGGAAUUUCUCCUAGUAUCAACAAAGUUAAAUUUGAAAAAUGCUCUCUAUCUUUUAGAGAAGAUCUUAAGAAACUGUAGAAUUCUAAACCAAAUGACCUGAAAACUUAUUUUGCUUGCAUCAGUCAGAUCAUCCUGUUACUAAUUUAAAAGCAAGUUAUACAUUUCUCAUUUUCAUCCCCUGAACCAGUGUUAAAAAUGGCAUGUUACCCUCUUUCUCCCUUAUAGUUACAUGUGAUAA